AAAAAAAUCGUGAGUUCUCUCUCUAAAUUUUUAUUUAUCUUUCCCUCCUCUCUUCUGAAAACUCUCUUUGUACUCUCCCUCUCUGCACAAAGAUGGCCGGCGAGCACCUCACCACCGGUGGUGACGAAUGAGAGAAAGGCAAAUCAGUUUCAGGGAAUCCGAAUAGAUAAGCCGUAUACUUUGAAAGUGCAUCGAGUAUUCACUGGCUUUGGUAUCGGCGUUGGCGGCCCGAUAAAUCUAGAUGGAUGAGACCAUGAAGCAAUUCCAGGAGAGCCUAAUUGAGCUUGAAACUGACGCGGAGCAUCUUCUAUUAGCCCGGCAUCAGCUGGUUGAAAAUGAUAGAGUGAGAAAUGGGACCAGGGAAGCACUUACUGCACUGAGGAAGAAGGCUCGAACAACAAAGACUAGUGUUCAGUCUCCGUUUGAAUCAAUUAUGAAGGAAAUUGGGGGGCCUGAACAUCGGCCAUUGGUGAAGGAUGUAUGUGCCACAUGUGGCAACCAUGACUUCAAUGAGCGCACAUGGAUGAUGUUCCCGGGGACUGAUGUGUUUGCUAGGAUUCCGUUUCAUGCUGCUCACACGAUCUUGGAGACAGUGGAACCUCAUCAAAGCAGGGCCCUUUGGACCUACCCCUGGGGAGUAAACUCCAGAUACACGACACCACCCGCUAGAACCGUGUAUGAGAUCAAGCACGACUUGAGUUUGAUGCCAAGCAACUACAGAGCAAUGUGAAGGAGAAGGCCCUUUUGAUUUCAGAAAAAGGUGCCCUUGCUGACAAGAUCAGCCCAGGUGUACUCAAAUCCCUCGUAAGCCUAUCAGACAAACCACAGAAUUAAGGUGGCCGGCUCUGUAUAAGGAGGAUAUUUGCAAUCACAUAAUUCUUUAUUAUGACUUUAGUAAGUGCUUUUUAUGGCACAUAUAGAAAACCACCGACUAUUUAAAUUACGUCACGAAAAUUUUUAGCAUAUUUUGACCUUAGGCUUUCGUAAAAUAUUUUUCUCCCGGCAUGCAUGGUAGUAUGAUUUACAAGUGUUCUGGAUUCUCAAAUAGGUAUUCUUUUGCGCCUCUGAGGCCUUAAGGUUAACAUACCGGGCCCUUUCGAGCCUAAAGUGUUAUUUUUUACCUCCUAUACUUAAAUGUGAUGUAUGCUUCUAGGGUCUCACGUACAUAUUAGCUUUUGACUUGCCUCUUUUUUCA